rnacentral:rRNA from 1 species
AAAGCUCAAAUUUAAAAUCUGGCGGUCUCUGGCCGUCCGAGUUGUAAUCUAGAGAAGUGCUAUCCGCGCCGGACCGUGUACAAGUCUCCUGGAACGGAGCGUCAUAGAGGGUGAGAAUCCCGUCUUUGACACGGACUACCGGGGCUUUGUGAUGUGCUCUCAAAGAGUCGAGUUGUUUGGGAAUGCAGCUCUAAAUGGGUGGUAAAUUCCAUCUAAAGCUAAAUAUUGGCGAGAGACCGAUAGCGAA